ACUCCUACGGGAGGCAGCAGUGGGGAAUUUUGGACAAUGGGCGAAAGCCUGAUCCAGCAAUACCGCGUGCAGGAAGAAGGCCCUCGGGUUGUAAAACUGCUUUUGUCAUCGGAACGGAAAAGGAUCCGUGGCUAAUAUCUGGGGCUGAUGACGGUACCGUAAGAAUAAGCACCGGCUAACUACGUGCCAGCAGCCGCGGUAAUACGUAGGGUGCAAGCGUUAAUCGGAAUUACUGGGCGUAAAGCGUGCGCAGGCGGCUGUGUAAGACAGGUGUGAAAUCCCCGAGCUCAACUUGGGAAUUGCACUUGUGACUGCAUAGCUAGAGUACGGCAGAGGGGGAUGGAAUUCCGCGUGUAGCAGUGAAAUGCGUAGAUAUGCGGAGGAACACCGAUGGCGAAGGCAGUCCCCUGGGCCCUGUACUGACGCUCAUGCACGAAAGCGUGGGGAGCAAACAGGAUUAGAUACCCUGGUAGCUACGA
rnacentral:rRNA from 1 species